GACGAACGCUGGCGGCACGCUUAACACAUGCAAGUCGAGCGGAAAGGCCUGCUUUCCCUUGUGGAUUGCGGGUACUCGAGUGGCGAACGGGUGAGUAACAUGUGAGUGAUCUGCCCCCAACUUGGGUAUAAGCCUGGGAAACUGGGUCUAAUUCCCGAUAGGACUGCAGGGUGGUGCCUGUGGUGGAAAACGAUUUUCUAGUGGUUGGGGAUGAGCUCGCGGCCUAGCAGCCUGUUGGUGGGGUAAUGGACUACCAAGGCGGCGACGGGUAGCCGGCCGGGGAGCGUGGACGCUGACACUGGGACAGAGACCCGGCCCCGACGCGUACGGGCGGCAGCAGUGGGGAAUAUUGGGCCAUGGGCGGGAGCCUGCAGCAGCGACGCCGUGUGGAGGAUGACGGCAUUCGGGUUGUAAACUCCUUGCGACCGAGAGGAGGCCACCUGGUUGGAAGGGUGGUGACGGUAGUGGUAGAAGAAGCACCGGCUAACUACGUG
rnacentral:rRNA from 1 species